ensembl:lncRNA
AUGAAUCAUAUCCGCCAGAUUCUUGGUGAUACACAGACCUAUAAAAUCACAGACUUUUCACAAUUUAAGAAGGUUGCUAAGCCAUAUUGUGCUUUCUGUAUUACUUCAUUUGACAGGUACUUCAAAGACAUUGCUCGUGGUAAAAUAGCGCUGAUUGCGAAAUACAGGAUGUGUGAAUUAACUUGUGAGAUUCUUGAUAUGAGACUUUUCAUUCUCUGGACGAUAGUCGAUGCAGACACUCCGCUUGUGAUGUCGUUUGUUCCUAUGUGGAGAAUCACUAUUGUGUAGUUGUGCAGUUUCUCAAAGUGUUUCACGUGUUGUUGAACGGAUCUCACAAGAGUCGUGUUUGGAUGAAUCCAACAUUGUGCGUUUGGAAAGUAGUGCUCAAUAUCCCAACACACUGAGUCUGUGAGGAAGCAGACCUGAAGACCUGGAGAAGAACACAAAUACUUGUUUUAACUAUUCUCAGUAUGAAUUAUGGGUAUAUUGAAUGUUUAUUGAUAAAGUGUGUAUUAGUUGCUUACCUUUUGGAACGAUGAAUGUUCUUUUGCUGAUUGUAGUUCUUAUUGAGCUUUUAUCUAAAGAGACAUGGAGAAGGCAUGUUAAUAUGUUAGUACAGUGAUAUUUUUGUUUGUAAACGGCUUCUGAUGCUCUGAAUUUUAUUCAGUAUUGUUAUUAUAGCUUUCAUGUGCACUAACCAUCUGUUUGUUCCCCAUUAUCUUCUUGUUUCACUCUGAAUGCUUCUUCAAUAUUCACGUCUUCACUCUCCACCUUAAUAAAUGCCAUCUUUAUAAUAGAGUGUCACAAGGAUCUCAGCUUCACCAGGGGUUUUUCUGUUUUAAUAUGUUGUCCUGUUUAAGAUGAGAAUAAUUAACAGAAAGAAGGAAUUUCAAAUUUAGAGUGAUAGUUAAUGGCCUUUAAUGACCCUAAUAAUCCCAAAACACUACAAUUAUCUUAAUACAAAGGUAUUGUUUAUAUUUAAUACAUUUCAUAGAUUACAUUUUCAUGAAAACAUUCACUGUUGGAAAACAAACAAACCAUAUACCUACAAUAUCCGGUUAUAGCUGUGGGAAACUCUUGAAGCAAAGACCAGGAGACACUUAACUGAGAUGCUGCUGUUCAGUGCUGCGGUCAUCAAGUGUGACUAAAACAGUGAAACACUGUAACUUUAUACAGAUUUUAGUGGGCUGUCCUUAAAGUUGAAGAUAAAGCAAACAAAGGAUGUAAGCAGUUAUAGGAACCAUUCAGACUCUGAGUUUCAGCAGCUCUAAAACAAUCAGCAUAACUAUAGCACUCAUUAUCAGAGACAUCAGGAAAAAUCCAGAUGCAUUCACACUUAACUCAGGUGUUUAUUAGCAUCAAUAAUGACCAUCAAUUACAGUAAUGAGGCAGAAGCAUCAAGAGCCAAUAAAGACAACAGAUGACAGAAUCACCAUGAUUUUACAUUUGUAUUCACGCACAACUAAAACAAAAGAGAUUAAUUUGAACAUUUAAACAGGAUUUAUACUUAUAAGCCUACAAUUUAAUUUUCACCAAAAUAGUUUUCUUUUGCAGUAAUUAUGUUGAAUGGACAGAUCAUCUCUUUAUGUGCAAUUGUAAAUAAAUGUGUCAGUUUAUUUAUACUUACCAAAGGAGUGAAUCACCAAAUGUAUUGAAGUGCCCUUGUUAAAAAAUAAACAUGUAUAAUUUGGAAGCAUUUUGGAAAAUACAGAUAGUGAUUAUACAUUAAACUCUAUAUAUAAAUAUUGAUUUCAAUUCAGCUAUUUUUUUUUCACAAAACAAAAUCUUUUCAGUGCCUUGAAAAACUGGUCAAAUGUUUAAAUAAAUAAAUUAUAUAUAUAUAUAUAUAUAUAUAUAUAUAUAUAUAUAUAUAUAUAUAUAUAUAUAUAUACACUUGCUCUUGAGUAGC